GAUGAACGCUGACAGAAUGCUUAACACAUGCAAGUCUACUUGAACUUCGGUUUGGGUGGCGGACGGGUGAGUAACGCGUAAAGAACUUGCCUCACAGUUAGGGACAACAUUUGGAAACGAAUGCUAAUACCUGAUAUUAUGAUUUUAGGGCAUCCUAGGAUUAUGAAAGCUAUAUGUGCUGUGAGAGAGCUUUGCGUCCCAUUAGCUAGUUGGAGAGGUAACGGCUCACCAAGGCGAUGAUGGGUAGCCGGCCUGAGAGGGUGAACGGCCACAAGGGGACUGAGACACGGCCCUUACUCCUACGGGAGGCAACAGUGGGGAAUAUUGGACAAUGGACCAAAAGUCUGAUCCAGCAAUUCUGUGUGCACGAUGACGUUUUUCGGAAUGUAAAGUGCUUUCAGUUGGGAAGAAAAAAAUGACGGUACCAACAGAAGAGGUGACGGCUAAAUACGUG
rnacentral:rRNA from 1 species